GGAUACAUCAGAAGAAGAUGAAGAAAGAGAUGUGCAUCCAUCUGUGAGCCAAGCUCUCUGAGUUCAGUCUUUCCAGCUCCAGUGAAAGACAAAUGAACAAGCUCCCACUGCUCUGAAUAGCAGCAAGGCGACUGCUUGCCAGCCUCUGAAACCUGGUAUUGUCCCUUCCGGAGUCAGAACUUGACCUUAAGAGCAUUCCUGCCAGUUUCUCCGAGGGACCAUGUCCCUGUGCUGCUGCAGAAGCCUGUUUGCCACAGGUGUGGAAGGACCCAUAAUUCCCGUGUACAGCAAGUGCAGCUGCAGGAGAGUAUAAUCAAUUCUCCCCAUGGAAAUAAGGGUGCGCUCGCAUGUGGGAUAAGGAGAGAUGGUGCCAGCUGGGAUGGGUGCAGCUCUAGCACAGGGAGACAGGCAGAACAAGGGGCUUGGAGCAAACCUCUGAAUCACAAAGAUGUCACCCAGGAGCUGCAUGGCACCAGUCUCUGCUCAGCGCUGUUUGUUCCCCACAAAGUCCCAUUCUCACUGCACGUAAGUUGUCUCAUUACUGUAGUUCACUUCUCCCAGGCAGUGCCAUAGAGCCCGAGUGUCACUUCUCAUCUCACUGGGACUCACCUUCCCCUCCCCAGUAA
rnacentral:lncRNA from 14 species